GAUGAACGCUGGCGGCGUGCUUAACACAUGCAAGUCGAACGAUGAAGCCCAGCUUGCUGGGUGGAUUAGUGGCGAACGGGUGAGUAACACGUGAGUAACCUGCCCUUGACUCUGGGAUAAGCCUGGGAAACUGGGUCUAAUACUGGAUAUGACUUCUCAUCGCAUGGUGGGGUGUGGAAAGAUUUAUUGGUCUUGUAUGGACUCGCGGCCUAUCAGCUUGUUGUUGAGGUAAUGGCUCACCAAGGCGACGACGGGUAGCCGGCCUGAGAGGGUGACCGGCCACACUGGGAAGGAGACACGGCCAAGACUCCUACGGGAGGCAGCAGUGGGGAAUAUUGCACAAUGGGCGCAAGCCUGAUGCAGCGACGCCGCGUGAGGGAUGACGGCCUUCGGGUUGUAAACCUCUUUCAGUAGGGAAGAAGCGAGAGGGAAGGUACCGGCAGAAGAAGCGCAGGCUAAUUCAGG
rnacentral:rRNA from 1 species